GAAAAAGCUUGUGGUGACUUGGAGGAAUCCGAGGAUGAAGAUUUGAAGCCGACCCUGUGCCCUAUGGAGCUGUUAAACGAUGCAGCAAGUGACUCCGAGUCCCAGGUUUCUGACUUGUCAGACGCUAGCUCACUGGCAUGCUCCGACUUGAUAUGCUUCGACUAGAUACAUUGAACAAGCACAGGCUGAAAAGAAUGGAAAAAGGGAUGCACUAUUUACUCCAUCCAAUGGAUCUUAUCAGAAAAACUCAAAAACAAUUUGAAGGGUUUUGGCUUAUGAAGAGUUUUUAAUUUUAUUGUUUAUGAUAUGGUAAAAAACAUUUUAAAUGGAGCUAAAUUGAAAAUUCGACUCACUUACGAGCUUUAUGAAUUUUAUUAUGAAUAACUUAGAUGCCAAGAUGUUAACGCAAUAUUUUUAAAUAACUAUAAACAAGCUUAGCAAGCUACAAGGGUUUUUAUACAAUAACAGAUGGAUAUAAUUUUUAUUUUAAGUUAUUAACAUAUAUUCAAAUAUGUUUUUGUGACUUACAAUAUGUUUCCAAUUUUGUUUUUUAAACAAUUUUCCAGGAA